rnacentral:tRNA from 1 species
GGGCUUUCACGUUCCCGUGACCCUUGUGAGUGAAGCCGUCGGGAGUCUUGUACUCCCAGUAGGGUCGCCAAAGGUGGUAAGGCCCAAGGGGAGGAGCUAGACAAAGAAUGAUCCAAGAAGUCCUUAAUGGGAGAACAGGCGGAUGAUAACAAGCGGUAUGUUACAACGGCUGUGAAGACAGAUGAAGGCUGAAACAGAUAAGAAUCUACUGGUCGACGUGAUACUCAUGCCAUUGAAAUAGAGCCUAACUGCAAAGACUGUGUGUUGGUCUGCGUGCCCUGAUCUACACACAUAAAUUCACAGGUAGGCAUCUUCCAAAAACCCAUCUAAUCCUCAGCAUGAUCAACUCCUAUGGGGAAGCCUAUGUCCCCACUGUGGAAGGGCGUGUGGAUCCAGAAUUGGCCUCCACAGUCCACAGGACCAUAUUCAUGGAAGACAAUCCUACUCAGCUACAAGCAAUCGCCAAAGAAGAGGAUCCAAAAAAGGGGCCGACGAGGGUGGGAUUCGAACCCACGCGUGCAGAGCACAAUGGAUUAGCAGUCCAUCGCCUUCACCACUCGGCCACCUCGUCCAGAAAUCCUGCCCGCAGCCGUCCCUGGGUGGGCUCGAACCACCAUCCUUCUGGUUAACAGCCAGAUGCGCUAACCCAUUGCGCCACAGAGACCUGGGCGGUAGAAUCCUUGGUCUGAGAUCUUAAUAGUGGAACACUACUGACAGACUAAGGAUGGGAUGUGCAUGUGUCCUUAUACCAAUUUCCCAGUUUCCAUGGAGAAAGGGGAGGAGGAACUGUCCUGCCGCUCAAAGGGUCAGUGGCAGAACUGGCGUCCCCUUCAACAACUCCACUAGUAGAGUGGGAGCAGGGUACUCAACAAGCAAGCCUUGAGGAGUUAAAUAUUAUGGGCUAGAGUUAGACGCCACCCUUUGAACGUUCCUUUGCUCUGCUUUUCAGUUUCAGCAGUGUUCUUCACCUGGCCAGAAAUAAAGCGGUAAGAGUCACACGUUUAUUUAUUCUGCAGUUAUGAUGAGGAGGAAAAGCAGUACUGGGUGCUUAUUGCCAAAGGGUGAAAUAAGGAGAUAAAGUGAUCUGGGAGAAAAAAAUACUCCAAGUUCCUCUUUCUUAUUUUAAAGCACUCACUAUAUUCACAGUCAUAGUGACUCUUUUUGGCUGCUUGGAUAAUGUGCUGAACUCCUAGGGAAAAGGGCUACUGAGGGUGGGGGCUUGAACCCCCAUGUGGGCAGAACACAACAGAUUAGCAAUUCACCACUCAGGCUCCUCAUUGCAGGCGGAUUUCCAGCAGCCGUCCCUGGUUAACAGCCAGACGCGCUAACCGAUUGCGCCACAGAGACCUGGGCAGAGCUGUUUCUCUGCCUCCUGUUAUGCUCGGUGCUGGCAAAGUUCAUUUUGAAAAGGAACUAGUUCAAGUUCAAGGAGGAACCAGUUCCAGGAAGAAUGAUGUUCUGGGUCUAGCAGACAAAAUAACCACUGAUAAAACGUCAGGCCUGGAUGGCAUCCCCCACAUUUGGCUCUUCUUGGGCAAAAAAAGAGGAGGAUUGCACCUUCUCUUGGCUAUAGGCAGGGCCAAUUUGCCAGGAUACCAAAUUCAGGGUGAGCAAUUGUAGUUGAAAUGGAGCUAUUGCACAACAAGCCCCUUCCCCUAAGCUGGAUUUUUUUCAAAUAAAGGCAGCAGGAGGAAAAUGCCCUGAGAUGUGUAGAAUUGCAAUUUGCUCGAAGCAAUGCAGUCUAAGCUCUCCACAAACAAAUCAAGAUGAAUGUCCAUAGAAACAUAGAAUCGUAGAGUUGGAAGGAAACCCAAGGAUCCCCUAGUCCAGUGGUAGCCAAACUUGGCCCUCCAGCUGUUUUGGGACUAAAACUCCCAUCAUCCCUAGGAAACAGGACCAAUGGUCAGGGAUGAUGGGCAUUGUAGUCCCAAAACAGCUGGAGGUCCAACCUUCAAUGAAGGAGAGUCCACCACCUUCCAAGGUAGUUUACACAGAAUCGUAGAGUUGGAAGGAAACCCAAGGAUCCCCUCAUUCAACUCUCUUCAAUGCAGGAAAUGCAGCUAAAGAACCCCUGAUAGGUGGCUCUCCAACCUCGCUUCAAAAAACCUGCAACGAAGGAGAAUCCACCUCCUUCCAAGGUUGUCCAUGACUGGCACUGCAACUGCGGGACCAAAAUAAAUGAGGCUUCAGGGUCUGAGUUCCUGGAAGGCGUUCAGCGCUGGUGGUAUAAUUGAAGUUCAUCUGGAAUGACCCUCUUUCCAUCUUGCAAAAGAAUUCCCUGACCGGGAAUCGAACCCGGGCCGCGGCGGUGAGAGCGCCGAAUCCUGACCACUAGACCACCAGGGAAGUACAAGGUGAUCUCUGUCCUUCCCUUCUUUCAAGAGACAAGCUCCGCAUCAAGCUGCUAAGAAAGUGUUCUCUGCCAGUCAGACAUCCUGCCAAAUGGCAGGUUUUCUUUGCUUGCUGUGAAGAGUUCCCACUGCAUUAGGAAGCUGAAAAGCAGCAUGUGGUCAUCCUCUUCCCUGGUGAAGGGAAACCAAGACCACACUCAUUGAAAGUUCCAUGGUACCACUUUAAACAGUUGUGGCUUCCCCCAAAGACUUCUGGGAGCUCCUAGUUUGUUAUCAGGGCUGAGAGUUGUAAGGAGUCUGCCCCCUGACUCCCAACUUGGGGUCCCUUCCAACUCUGCAAUGCUAUCAUUGUAUGUUUUGUGGGGUGAACUAGGCCUUAGCCUAAAGCAGGAGCUGCCUGCUGUUUGCACCUGCUUGCAAAUAGUUUGACCUGCUUAGCUGGCACCUGAUUGUAGGAUCGGUUGGCUAACAUUCAGCAUGGGUCACUUGGUUACAAAUUUGCAGCAAGUGUGAACAAGGGUUUCCAAGGAAGAUUUUUCUGGUUUGUCUCUAGUGAGACUUGAGGGCUCAAUUCCUCUUAAAGCAGGUUACAUGGUUCUUCUGUUUCAACCCUCUCCCUUGUGAACCAUUUCAUUCAGACAAUAACAGGAGCUUUCCAACCACAAAGCCUGUCAGGUGAACUCUCUCUUGGAAGUAAAGGCGCCAGCUAUGUAGGUCACACUGUUUGCAAGCGGAGUCCUGACUGAGAGAGAAGAAAUAAUAGUGGCACUUAGGUCAAGAGGGCCUCUCGGACCCCCUACAUUAAUGCCAGGGUUAGUGCAGCAUUCCUCAACCUUGGCCCUCCAGAUGUUUUUGGCCUACAGCUCCCAUGAUCCCUAGCUAGCAGGACCAGUGGUCAGGGAUGCAGGGAAUUGUAGUCUCAAAACAUCUGGAGGGCUGAGGUUGAGGAAGCCUGAGUUAGUGGGUAGAUAUCCAGUCUGUGUUUUGUUUUGUUUUGGGUAGUGCUCUGUGAUUGUUCCUGUUUGUUUUAGAUAUUAUUUCUUUCUACACCUUACAAAAGAAUUCAGUAGGCAUAUUAAAAAAGAAAAGAAAAGAAGAGGAGCACCAUGUUUCUGCCUGGUUUCAAACCAGGGACCUUUUGCGUGUGAGGCGAACGUGAUGACCACUACACUACAGAAACUCUGCCUUAGCUGAGGCCCUUGUUCCUGCCC